rnacentral:rRNA from 1 species
CAGGCCUAACACAUGCAAGUCGAGCGCACCUUCGGGUGAGCGGCGGACGGGUUAGUAACGCGUGGGAACGUGCCCUUCUCUGCGGAAUAGCCUCUGGAAACGGAGAGUAAUACCGCAUACGCCCUUCGGGGGAAAGAUUUAUCGGAGAAGGAUCGGCCCGCGUUAGAUUAGGUAGUUGGUGGGGUAACGGCCUACCAAGCCUACGAUCUAUAGCUGGUUUGAGAGGAUGAUCAGCAACACUGGGACUGAGACACGGCCCAGACUCCUACGGGAGGCAGCAGUGGGGAAUCUUAGACAAUGGGGGAAACCCUGAUCUAGCCAUGCCGCGUGAGUGACGAAGGCCCUAGGGUCGUAAAGCUCUUUCGCCAGGGAUGAUAAUGACAGUACCUGGUAAAGAAACCCCGGCUAACUCCGUGCCAGCAGCCGCGGUAAUACGGAGGGGGUUAGCGUUGUUCGGAAUUACUGGGCGUAAAGCGCGCGUAGGCGGAUUAGUCAGUUAGGGGUGAAAUCCCGGGGCUCAACCCCGGAACUGCCUCUAAUACUGCUAGUCUUGAGUUCGAGAGAGGUGAGUGGAAUUCCGAGUGUAGAGGUGAAAUUCGUAGAUAUUCGGAGGAACACCAGUGGCGAAGGCGGCUCACUGGCUCGAUAC